GGUCCACGCCGGCCGCCACCUGGGCCGGGGCCAAGGUGGGCGGCAGGAGACGGCUGGCUGGGCCUGCAGAGCCGCAGGUCCACGCUCGGAGAUUCACCUAGAUCCCGAUACGAGUUUGAGAGGAACAGAGUCACAUUUAUAACCUGAAGUGGGUGAUUCAGUAAAGGAGGAGGAAAUAAAAGAGUGAAUCAGAGGCUUCCCAGAAGAUCUGGAGCUUGACAGGACAUCUUCCAAAGGCCCUCGGAGGGACCCUGGCAAAGAUUUAACAUGCUCAUGUGUUUUUAUAAACUUUGCAAAGAUUACUGCACUUCAUUUAGGAGACUGAAUGGAAUCUCAACAUUUAAAUACCUAAUCGCUUGCUUUCAUCUCUGGCACAAGUGAACUGGAUUUCCCCACACAUAUGAGUCACCUGAUAACAAAUUUCCCGGCUUAAAUAGCUUUAAAAUGGCACUAUUAGUUAUGCAGCAGUAUGAACUGUGUCUCAGAGUCAAGGAUUUAUAGGAACAAUAUGUUUUUAGCAUUCAUGUUCUUUCUCAACAUGCGCAUUUUUCUUUCAUGCUGUAAAAAAGUUUUUCUGAUGCUGAAAAGUGUUUUGUGCAACUAUUUCAGAAUGAAGCCCCUCUCCUUCUUCUGGCUCCCAGAAAAAUCAGACAGCCUGAUGUGUUUUUCACUUUAAUCUGAAUUGUAAAACACUGCAUUCUUGCAGUUUUCCCACAAACUGAAGUGAAAGAAAUAUGUACUUGCUAUUUUGGGGGGCAUAUGUCUGGGUAAAUAAAACAUGCUCCCAACCUCCUA
ensembl:lncRNA